GAUUAACGCUGGCGGCGUGCAUAACACAUGCAAGUCGAACGAUGAAACUUAAAUGAUUUCUUCGGAAUGAACUUAAGUGGAUUAGUGGCGGACGGGUGAGUAACGCGUGAGUAACCUGCCUUACACAAGGGGAUAGCCGUUGGAAACGACGAAUAAUACCCUAUGAAACUAUCACUUCGCAUGAAGCGAUAGUCAAAGUGUUAGCGGUGUAAGAUGGACUUGCGUCUGAUUAGCUAGUUGGUGAGAAAAAAGCCAACCAAGGCAACGAUCAGUAGCCGGCUUGAGAGAGUGUACGGCCACAUUGGGACUGAGACACGGCCCAGACUCCUACGGGAGGCAGCAGUGGGGAAUUUUGCACAAUGGGGGAAACCCUGAUGCAGCGACGCCGCGUGAUUUAGAAGGCCUUCGGGUUGUAAAAAUCUUUUGUAUAGGAAGAAAAUGACAGUACUAUACGAAUAAGGUCCGGCUAAUUACGUG
rnacentral:rRNA from 1 species